GUGCACCAGGCGAGAAUCUUCCCCAAUGGGCGCAAGCCUGAGGGAGCGACGCCGCGUGGGGGAUGAAGGUCUUCGGAUCGUGAACCCCUGUUGCCCGGGACGAAGUUCUGACGGUACCGGGUAAGGAAGCUCCGGCUAACUACGUGCCAGCCAGCCGCGGUAAUACGUAGGGAGCGAGCGUUGCUCGGGAAUUACUGGGCGUAAAGGGUGUGUAGGUGGACAUGCAAGUCCAGGGUGAAAUCCUUCGGCUCAACCGAAGAACUGCUCU
rnacentral:rRNA from 1 species